rnacentral:rRNA from 1 species
UACGUAGGGUCCGAGCGUUGUCCGGAAUUAUUGGGCGUAAAGGGCUCGUAGGCGGUUUGUCGCGUCGGGAGUGAAAACCUACAGCUUAACUGUGGGCUUGCUUUCGAUACGGGCAGACUUGAGGCAUGCAGGGGAGAACGGAAUUCCUGGUGUAGCGGUGAGAUGCGCAGAUAUCAGGAGGAACACCGGUGGCGAAGGCGGUUCUCUGGGCAUGUUCUGACGCUGAGGAGCGAAAGUGUGGGGAGCGAACAGG